GCAGCCGCCGCGGUAAUACAGAGGAUGCAAGCGUUAUCCGGAAUGAUUGGGCGUAAAGCGUCUGUAGGUGGCUUUUUAAGUCCGCUGUCAAAUCCCAGGGCUCAACCCUGGACAGGCGGUGGAAACUACCAAGCUGGAGUACGUUAGGGGCAGAGGGAAUUUCCGGUGGAGCGGUGAAAUGCGUUGAGAUCGGAAAGAACACCAACGGCGAAGGCACUCUGCUGGGCCGACACUGACACUGAGAGACGGAAGCUAGGGGAGCAAAUGGGAUUAGAUACCCCCGUAGUCCCUGUCUCUUAUAC
rnacentral:rRNA from 1 species